rnacentral:misc_RNA from 1 species
GAUGAAGAACGUAGCGAAUUGCGAUAUGUAAUGUGAAUUGCAGAUUUUCAGUGAAUCAUCGAAUCUUUGAACGCACAUUGCGCCCGCUAGUAUUCUGGCGGGCAUGCCUGUCCGAGCGUCAUUUCAACCCUCAAGCCCCCGGGCUUGGUGUUGGGGAUCGGCGAGCCUCCGCGCCCGCCGUCCCCUAAAUCUAGUGGCGGUCUCGCUGUAGCUUCCUCUGCGUAGUAGCACACCUCGCACUGGGAAACAGCGCGGCCACGCCGUUAAACCCCCAACUUCUGAACGUUUGACCUCGGAUCAGGUAGGAAUACCCGCUGAACUUAAGCAUAUCAAUAAGCGGAGGA